CCUACGGGCGGCAGCAGUGGGGAAUAUUGGACAAUGGGCGAAAGCCUGAUCCAGCCAUGCCGCGUGUGUGAAGAAGGCCUUCGGGUUGUAAAGCACUUUCAGUGGGGAAGAAAGCCUUGGGGCUAAUACCCUCGAGGAAGGACAUCACCCACAGAAGAAGCACCGGCUAACUCCGUGCCAGCAGCCGCGGUAAUACGGAGGGUGCGAGCGUUAAUCGGAAUUACUGGGCGUAAAGCGCGCGUAGGCGGUCUGAUAAGCCGGUUGUGAAAGCCCCGGGCUCAACCUGGGAACGGCAUCCGGAACGGUCAGGCUAGAGUGCAGGAGAGGAAGGUAGAAUUCCCGGUGUAGCGGUGAAAUGCGUAGAGAUCGGGAGGAAUACCAGUGGCGAAGGCGGCCUUCUGGACUGACACUGACGCUGAGGUGCGAAAGCGUGGGUAGCAAACAGGACUAGAUACCCUGGUAGUC
rnacentral:rRNA from 1 species